rnacentral:misc_RNA from 1 species
AAUAUCCGAGGAGAAGGCCUUUGCAAUGUUGCAUCAGGGAUCACGAUAUCGUUCCUUAAAUGUAUUAGGGGCAAAAGAAAUAUGAUAUUCUCCUAAAAAUUGAUUUUACUUGGAAUCAUAUAUCUAUAGCAACUAAAAGAACUUUGUUAAUCAGAAUUUUGAGACAAGUCUUAGCCGGAUUUUCUUUUGCAUCACAUUCACAAGAAAUUAAACGCUUCAAAUUAAACUUUUUCUCAUCACAGGAAGUAUUAGGUAUCGAAUUGUACCAAAAGCAAGCAUACCUGUUGGUGCUGACUGUUUCUUUUUCUUUCCUUCGUUUUUUCUCCUCCUAGAAAACAUGUCAUUGUUCGAGUUCUACUUUAGCAAGCUUCGGAUCUCAACUUUUGGUUGGAGAGUGUGAUCGUUUGUUUCAUCUUUAAUGAGUUACAUAGGCACAUUCUUUUGUUAGAGGAUACUUUCGUUAAAGCAUGUUUGGUAAAUCUUUAAUUAUAUGGAUUGCAAU